rnacentral:rRNA from 1 species
GCAAGUCGAGCGAGAAAGUUUCCUUCGGGAAGCGAGUAAAGCGGCGCACGGGUGAGUAACACGUAGGUAACCUACCUUCGGGUUCGGGACAACUGGCUGAAAAGCCAGCUAAUACCGGAUGAGACCACGGCCCCCUCGGGGGCUGCGGCCAAAGAUGGCCUCUUCUUGAAAGCUAUCGCCUGAGGAUGGGCCUGCGGACCAUUAGCUUGUUGGUGAGGUAACGGCCUACCAAGGCUACGAUGGUUAGCUGGUCUAAGAGGAUGAUC